rnacentral:rRNA from 1 species
CUGGCUCAGGAUGAACGCUGGCGGCGUGCUUAACACAUGCAAGUCGAACGAAGCAACUAUCUUGCUGCAAGAGAGUGACUAGUGGCGGACGGGUGAGUAACGCGUGGGUAACCUGCCUCAUACAGGGGGAUAACAGUUGGAAACGACUGCUAAGACCGCAUAACCCGCUAGUGUCGCAUGACACGGACGGAAAAUAUUUAUAGGUAUGAGAUGGGCCCGCGUCUGAUUAGCUAGUUGGUAAGGUAACGGCUUACCAAGGCGACGAUCAGUAGCCGACUUGAGAGAGUGAUCGGCCACAUUGGGACUGAGACACGGCCCAAACUCCUACGGGAGGCAGCAGUGGGGAAUAUUGGACAAUGGGGGAAACCCUGAUCCAGCGAACCGCCGCGUGAGUGAAGAAGUAUUUCGGUAUGUAAAGCUCUAUCAGCAGGGAAGAUAAUGACAGUACCUGACUAAGAAGCCCCGGCUAACUACGUGCCAGCCGCAGC